UAAGCGAUGUGUGAAAUGACAGGGCUCAACCCUGUGUCCAUGCAUUGAACUGCUUUGACUAGAGAAUGGUAGAGGUCGCUGGAAUUCCAGGUGUAGGGGUGAAAUCCGUAGAUAUCUGGAGGAACACCGAUGGCGUAGGCAGGCGACUGGACCAUUUCUGACGCUCAGGCACGAAAGCGUGGGAGCGAUCGGGAUUAGAUACCCCGGUAGUCCACGCCGUAAACGAUGGAUGCUA
rnacentral:rRNA from 1 species